CCGAUCCCAGUUUGGGGCUCCGGUGCGGGACAGGGAGCGGGGCAGGAACUGUCACUGCCAGCCCAGAGCCCCUGCACUCCCCUGGGUCAGUGCCACAGCAGCAGAACCUUGUUGUCACAGCACAGCUCGUCUGGAGCUGGGCAGAUCAACCUGGCUGUAGCAGGGAACCCAGUCUGGCUCUCCCAGUUCAGUGAACAAGUCCCUGGGUGAACAAUGACAGGACAGGUUUAACCUGGAACAGACACCAGUCCCUUCCAGCCCUAAAUGCAGACGUGUCACUGGCAGGGAGCUGGGCAGAGCUAAGAGCCAGGCCAGGCAGGGUCUGGAUCCGGGGGCUCUGAGCUGCCUGCUCCAGAAGGUUCCAAACACUAGAACAGGCUGGUUUGUCCUGUGAGCAAGAGGACUCGGGUCAUGAUUUCUGUCUCCAGCCUGCGACCCCACGUGACACCUUGUCCCAAGCCAGGAUUGCACUGGAGGGUCAGAAACUCCUUGGGAAUGGCCUGAAGAGCCUGUUGGAGUGCUGGCCUGGAUCUGGGAGGAGCCAAGUAGCCUGGAGCUGUGAGGUUUUUCCUGUCAGAAAUCCCUGAUGGGGAUGUUUUCCCUGGCUGUUCCAAGGGGAAGGAGCAGCUCUGGAGUUGUUGCAGCCACAGGAUGCAGUGGGUGCAUGCCCUGAGAACCAGUUCAGGAUUGUUCAUCUGAGUCUGCCGCUGACCUGUGACUUCCAGGGCCUCUCCUGAUGUCCUGGAUAUUCCCAGGAAAGGAUAUUCCAAGGCUUGCCUUUUGAGCCAGCAAUUCCAGAGGCAGGGGAGGAGGCAGCCGUGCCCAGGAGGAAGAGGAGGAGGAGUGGGAGGAUGGAGACAGUGGCCACCAAAGGCUGGGGGAGCCACAGCUCCAGGUGGUGCUUUAGGAAAGGCCCUCCAGCCUGAGAAGGAGCUUUUGGCUCCGGACAAUUCCCAGUUCCCAGGAGCAGCAGGACCUGUGCUGUCCCCAGCAGGACAGGAAAACCCACCCAACUCCCCCCAUCUCUGCCAGAAGCUUUGGUGUUUGAGCAGCCAAACCCAGCAGGCUCUGGCCCCACUGGCCUGCCCUGGAGGGCCCCUGCCCUUCCCAUGGUGUGAGUGAGUCCCAGAGUGCUGCAAAUCCAGAGGGAUCUGCCCUGGUCCCUGCAGUGCCCAACCCCAGACAGAGAGAGCCCUGUCCAAGGGGCUGUGGCUCCUUGUCAGGAAUGUGGCAGCAGCCCCGGGAGCAGCUGGAGGUGAGAACUGGGGCUGUGCUUGGGGCUGAGCCAGCUCAGGGCAGUGUUUACCUGGGCUGGGGGCAGUUGGCCCCACAGGCUGAGUUCCAGCAGGAUCAGGGUGACAGAUGCUGCAUUUUCUGUCCCCCUGGAGAUUUCCUGCUGGGAUGGAGCAGGGCAGGGAGCAGCUGCACCUCCGUGGCACUGCUGCCCUUGGUGUCUCUGCUGUGCCCUCAGCCCCUGGGAAUUUGCUGCUGUCACUGCCACUGCCCCCCUGCCUGGGGCUGCAUCCUCCUGGCAGCCCCUGCCAGCCCCACACACGAGCUCCAGGGGUGCCUCUGUGCAGUGCUGGGAGUGUUUGCUGGGAAUGGGCCUCAGCCCUGGGAGGAUCCUUUUGUUCCUGGGCAGCUGCACAGAGCCUUGG